UCCUAACUGACUUGCCUAGUUAAAUAAAAGGUAUUAAAAAAAAUGGAAAUCGGCGCCCAAAAAAAACGAUUUCCGAUUGUUAUGAAAACUUGAAAUCUGCCAUUCCAAUUAAUUGGUAGACCUCUACUCCAGACGGGUCAGACAUAAAAUAUACUAGCCUUAUUAUAAGACAUUAUAAAGGGUCAUGCAUGCUUACAAAAUGUCAGUAUUACUAGCAAAAGAUGAAGUGAUAUGUGUAAGAAGAUAGACCUGAAGAAGAGACCUCAGUCUGGGAACUCCUCCACCUCCAAGAGCACCUCUCCCACCCUGACCCCAUCUCCAUCCCCCACCCCCAAGCCUGCCCUGGGGGACUCCCUGUCCUCUGCCUCCUCCCACCCACGCUCCAAGAGCAGCGGCGGCUCCAGUAGUGGCACCAUCACCGACGAGGGUGAACCUGGGCAUCAGUGGUUGAUGGAGAUUUAAAGGAAUUGGGGAUUAAGACAGAUGGGCCGAGGUAUCAAAUACUGGCAGCAAUUUCUGAACUCAAUGCUGGGAAGGGGAGAGAGAGGCAGAUUUUGCAGUAGACCAUCCACAACAUCCAGUCCUCCUUUGGCAGCAGUACCAGUAACCCCAGACCACCAGGACAUCCACGCUUUCCUACAGACUAGGUCCGACACCAGGUGCACACCUCUAACAAGAGGUAACAGGCAUGACACUCAGAUUGAAGACCACCCAUAUAGGAAGUCAGAGUUGACCCUAUAACCCAGGUGUGAGGAGACUCUUCUGGACACCAGUGUUACAGAACACUCCCAGUGGGGGAGAACGCUGCAGCAAAGAACCCACUGAAGGGACCCCAUGACCCACAACUGGGAGGUGGUCUGCUGCUUACCGACAUAGCACAACGUGACAUGCAGCCAUCCUUUAUUGCCAUGGCAAUAGGGCUGUCAUAGGGGAGAUACAGUAGAGGGAGUGAGCGGGUACUAGGAAAGAAAAUGUCUAGUCAUGCCUUAAUGGUUGUGGGAGAUGAAAGCCUUUAGGCUGAGAUUGAGACUGUUGCGACAAGCGCUGAUGAUGUACGAUCAGGCCCAGUUCCCUAGAUACAGAUUAUGUCUAGUCCUGGACUAAAAAGUACAUCCAAUUGAGAGUCUCUAUUGAACAUGCUUCUAAAUCCAAGACUAGUCUUAAUCUGUAUCUGGGAAACUGGCCCGUAAUGUCUUAAUGAAUGUGGGAGAUAAAGGUUUAAAAGGCUGGAAUUAAGAUUGUCGCACACUGAUGAUGUAAGUGAUUAGAGGAAUUCUGGUUUGCCAGAAUGAUGAGAGGGAAGAUUGUCCUAAUUUUUAGAUUUAUGUCUGAUUUUUCUGUUUUUUUCAGCCUCUUUCUUUUUCCACAUUCGUUUUGGCUAUUUCACUAUUGUAAGUGUUGUUACUCGUUACUGUACUAAAAGUCUAGUGAUUUGUGUGUGUAAACAAA